UACGAAGGGUGCAAACGUUGCUCGGAAUCAUUGGGCGUAAAGCGCGCGUAGGCGGCCCGAUAAGUCCGCUGUAAAAGUCAACGGCUCAACUGUUGAAAGCCGGUGGAUACUGUCGGGCUAGAGUACGGAAGAGGCAAGUGGAAUUCCUGGUGUAGCGGUGAAAUGCGCAGAUAUCAGGAAGAACACCCGUGGCUAAGGCGGCUCUCUAGUACGGUACUGACGCUGAGACGCGAAAGCGUGGGGAGCGAACAGG
rnacentral:rRNA from 1 species